GACGAAGGGGGCUAGCGUUGUUCGGAAUUACUGGGCGUAAAGCGCGUGUAGGCGGUUGCCAAAGUCGGGUGUGAAAGCCUUGAGCUCAACUCAAGAAAUGCACUCGAUACUUGGUGACUAGAGGACCGGAGAGGAUAGUGGAAUUCCCAGUGUAGUGGUGAAAUACGUAGAGAUUGGGAAGAACACCAGUGGCGAAGGCGGCUAUCUGGGACGGUUUCCUGAC
rnacentral:rRNA from 1 species